AGCAGUCGAGGGGUAACGAUCAGGAUUUCGGUUCUGAGGCGACGACCGGCGAACGCGUGAGUAACGCGUAUGCAACCUGCCUUUUACAGAGGGAUAGCUUUCGGAAACGAAAAUUAAUACCUCAUAACACUGCGAUUUGGCAUCGAAUUGCAGUUAAAACUUUGGUGGUAAAAGAUGGGCAUGCGUAACAUUAGCUAGUUGGUAAGGUAACGGCUUACCAAGGCAACGAUGUUUAGGGGACCUGAGAGGGUGAUCCCCCACACUGGUACUGAGACACGGACCAGACUCCUACGGGAGGCAGCAGUGAGGAAUAUUGGUCAAUGGACGGAAGUCUGAACCAGCCAUCCCGCGUGCAGGACGACGGCCCUAUGGGUUGUAAACUGCUUUUCUGAAGGAAGAAUAAUAGCGAUGUAUCGUUAUACGACGGUACUUCAGGAAUAAGCAUCGGCUAACUCCGUGCCAGCAGCCGCGGUAAUACGGAGGAUGCAAGCGUUAUCCGGAUUUAUUGGGUUUAAAGGGUGCGUAGGCGGACUAGUAAGUCAGUGGUGAAAUCUUUCGGCUCAACCGAGAAACUGCCAUUGAUACUGUUAGUCUUGAGUUCGGUAGAGGUAGGCGGAAUGUGUAAUGUAGCGGUGAAAUGCUUAGAUAUUACACAGAACACCAAUUGCGUAGGCAGCUUACUAUGCCGACACUGACGCUGAGGCACGAAAGCGUGGGGAGCGAACAGGAUUAGAUACCUGGUAGUCCACGCCGUAACUAUGAUUCUCGGUGUGGCGAUACAUUGUCAGCGCCAAGCGAAAGCGAUAAGUAAUCCACCUGGGGAGUACGCUCGAAAGAGUGAACUCAAAGGAAUUGACGGGGGCCCGCACAAGCGGUGGAACAUGUGGUUAAUUCGAUGAUACGCGAGGACCUUACCUGGGCUAAAAUGUAGAGUGCAUAAUCGGGAAACUGAUUUUUCCUUCGGGACUCUUUACAAGGUGCUGCAUGGUUGUCGUCAGCUCGUGCCGUGAGGUGUCGGGUCAAGUCCCAUAACGAGCGCAACCCUUAUCAUUAGUUGCCAUCGGGUAAUGCCGGGGACUCUAAUGAAACUGCCACCGUAAGGUGAGAGGAAGGUGGGGAUGACGUCAAAUCAGCACGGCCCUUAUGUCCAGGGCUACACACGUGUUACAAUGGUCGAUACAGAGGGCAGCUACCUGGUGACAGGAUGCAAAUCUCUAAAGUCGGUCCAAGUUCGGAACGGUUACCUCGUCACGACUUCGUGAAGCUGGAAUCGCUAGUAAUCGCAUAUCAGCCAUGAUGCGGUGAAUACGUUCCCGGCCCUUGUACACACCGC
rnacentral:rRNA from 1 species